rnacentral:rRNA from 1 species
UAGGGAAUAUUGGACAAUGGGGGGAACCCUGAUCCAGCCAUGCCGCGUGGAGGAAGACUGCCCUCUGGGUUGUAAACUCCUUUUAUAUGGGAAGAACCGUCCUCAUUGAUGAGUGACCUGACGGUACCAUAGGAAUAAGCACCGGCUAACUCCGUGCCAGCAGCCGCGGUAAUACGGAGGGUGCAAGCGUUAUCCGGAUUCACUGGGUUUAAAGGGUGCGUAGGCGGAUAUGUAAGUCAGUGGUGAAAUCAACGGGCUCAACCUGUUAACUGCCAUUGAUACUGUGUAUCUUGAAUAUGAGAGAGGUAGGCGGGAUGUUGCAUGUAGCGGUGAAAUGCUUAGAUAUGCUACGGAACACCGAUUGCGAAGGCAGCUUACUAUUUCGUAAUUGACGCUGAGGCACGAAAGCGUGGGUAGCGAACA